GAUGAACGCUGGCGGUGUGCCUAAUACAUGCAAGUCGAGCGAACAGACGAGGAGCUUACUCCUCUGACGUUAGCGGCGGACGGGUGAGUAACACGUGGAUAACCUACCUAUAAGACUGGGAUAACUUCGGGAAACCGGAGCUAAUACCGGAUAACAUGUUGAACCGCAUGGUUCAACAGUGAAAGACGGUCUUGCUGUCACUUAUAGAUGGAUCCGCGUCGCAUUAGCUAGUUGGUAAGGUAACGGCUUACCAAGGCAACGAUGCGUAGCCGACCUGAGAGGGUGAUCCGCCACACGGGAACUGAGACACGGUCCCGACUCCUACGGGAGGCAGCAGUAGGGAAUCUUCCGCAAUGGGCGAAAGCCUGACGGAGCAACGCCGCGUGAGUGAAGAAGGUCUUCGGAUCGUAAAGCUCUGUUAUUAGGGAAGAACAAAUGUGUAAGUAACUAUGCACGUCUUGACGGUACCUAAUCAGAAAGCCACGGCUAACUACGUG
rnacentral:rRNA from 1 species